AGCUCUCGGGGGUCGCACAGUUUAGCGCGUAGAAUGAGCGCUACUCGAAGCGCGGAAGCCGGUGCAAGUCCGGCGCGGUCGCGCCACUGUAAUCGGCCACAUCGUUGGUCCGGAAGUCAGACCCAGCUUCGUGCCUUUUCUGCAA
rnacentral:ncRNA from 2 species